GGUGGAUGCCUGGGCAGUCAGAGGCGAUGAAGGACGUACUAACUUGCGAUAAGCGUAGAUGAGGCAGUAAGAGCCACUUGAGUCUACGAUUUCCGAAUGGGGAAACCCAGCUGCAUAAGCAGUUAUCUCAAUGUGAAUUCAUAGCAUUGUGAGGCGAACCGGGGGAACUGAAACAUCUAAGUACCCCGAGGAAGAGAAAUCAACCGAGAUUCCGGCAGUAGCGGCGAGCGAAACCGGAUUAGCCCUUAAGCUAAUCUUGCGUUAGGUGAACAUGCUGGAAAGCAUGGCAAUAAAGGGUGAUAGCCCCGUAACCAACAACGCUUUAUCAGUGAAAUCGAGUAGGACGGGACACGUGUUAUCCUGUCUGAAUAUGGGGGGACCAUCCUCCAAGGCUAAAUACUCCUGACUGACCGAUAGUGAACCAGUACCGUGAGGGAAAGGCGAAAAGUACCCCUGUGAGGGGAGUGAAAUAGAACCUGAAACCGUGUACGUACAAGCAGUAGGA
rnacentral:ncRNA from 1 species